GAGGAGCAAGAGCCUGUCUCAGAAGACAAACCAACCAACAAACACAAGCCAACACAGGAGAAGGGGGCAGGAUGCGGGCUUCCUACUUCUCUCUACCCUUAGUCAUAAGAAGCAAGGAAACCCUGAGAAGCUGUCCCAGGUGAAAGGAGACCAAAGGAAGUGACAACUAAAUACAAUGUGGCAACCGGGAUUGGGCCUAGACAAGAAAAAUGACAAUGUAAUGUCCCUUAAGAAAACACUGGUAAAAUCCAAAUAAAAGCUGUAGUUCAAUUAAUAGUAUUGUUCCAAUGUUAAUUUCUUUGCUUUUACAAGUGUACCAUGGUUAUAUAAGACGUUAACAUUAGUGGAAGCUGGGUGAGGGUACAUGGGAACGAACUCUCUGUACUAUCGUUGGAACUUGUCUGUAAUGAUUCCAAAAUAAAAAGUUAAAAAACCCAAAGACAAACAGGGGCCGGGCCUGCCAAGAAGAACUGGGACUCGGACUUGGCACCUAGGCCUUGGGCUCUGCCUGGGAAAAUCCAAGGAGGCCUGGAGCUGGCUCUCAGCUGGCAGGAGGAGCUGCUGCCAACUCUGCAGAGACGGGCCAGUUCUGGAAAGAUGAGACAGGUGGGCAUGGGAGCUCCAGGGUGGGCCGCAGGCAGUGCCUGAGCCCUGGCCAUGGCUGCUCCGUGAGCUCUCUGCUGGUAUUUCAGUACCUUCCUAGGUUCAGCAGGAUCUUGGCUCUCCAAAGGGAGGGCUCUGCAUCCCCUCUGGGUUGGCUUAGAAACCUGGGUCUGUGGCUGAGGACUCAGGCGGGUCCUGCAGGCAGAUACGGCCGUGGGUCUGGCUGCAUCACUCACCUAGCCACACAUGGAUGACAGAGGGUUAACGGUCCUCUCCAGGUGCUGCUCCGUCCAUCCGGACCCUGCACCCCAGGCUGUAAUCACUGGAGGAGUUCUUCCUGCCCACUGCAUGAAUGAAGGUCGUGGAAUUGCAGUAAAGAAAGAAUUUAACAGACCCGAGGCCCGCCACACCAUGUGGGAGACAGAGUUAGUACUGAAAUCAUCUUCAAAGCUUGCAGGGGAAGCCAGUGGCCAUGUUGUGAGCAGCCCUAUGGAGAAGCCCAUGUGACCAUCUUGGAAGUGGAUCUUCCAGCCCCAGUCAAGCCUUCAGAUGACUGUAGCCCUGGCCAACAUCUUGACUGCAGCCUCAUGAGUGAUCCUGACUCAGAAUCACUCAGCAAAGCUGCCCUCAAACUCCU